CACUAACCAUACCGGAUCGAAAUAGCAGCACAGGCCACUUAUUCUGAGAGGGAAAAGCAUUAGAACUGCAUCUUUUACUGAAAGUCAACAUUAAAGCUCGAAUUCACCUACAUGGGUUGUGAAGGCUUCCAUGAAAUGUGUGCAGAGUGAUCUGGAAAGAUAAUUGCUCACUUGGUUAAUGCUUGUGCUGCAGGACCAUGCUCCAGGUUGGCACUCUUGUCCCUCUUGUCUGCGUGGAUGCUGGAGCAGCAUUCAGACACCUUCCAACAGCAUCGUUAAGCUCCUGGAUAAGUCAGAGCUUGUUUCAAAGCUGGGAGCGCAAUGAAUAAAUAUUUUAGAAAUCUGAACAUG
rnacentral:lncRNA from 1 species